ensembl:lncRNA
CACUCUGGAUACAUUUUUUCUUCUAAAUGCAUGUCACUAUUUCGUGCAUCAAGAGCAGGUUUUAUAAUCCACUUGCUUCUGAUAGACAAAACUGUUCUCAUGUAGUUUCAUUGAUUUCAAGGAAGUUUAAUGUCUUCUUUAUGUAAAUGUAAAUAACUGAACAAGUUUUAGCUCUGGUAGCUGAAAUAUUUUCAGUGCUCAGUUAAGGGAACAAAAAAAAGUUAAUCUUUCUCAUUUUUAGGAUUGUGACAUAGGCAGGAACAAAUAGUUCAAAAAUAGAGAGCAGGGCAUUCUGAAGAAAGACAUAGAAGUACCUUUUAGUGGUUUUUUGUUUGUUUUUGUUACUUUUUGUAUUAUUUAUAAGAUACUUUUUUUCUACUUUUUUCUGGGUUUCAUCUGUUGGUUGAAUCAUUAAUAAAAGUAAAGCUUUGAUAUCUUUACUGAUAGUCACAUAUGGAAUCAAGUCACCUUUGAAAAUAGAAUUAUGAAGUUUACAUAAAUAAUAUUUAAUUUUUUUUUGUUUGAAUCUUUUGUUGUUUUUGUUGUUUUCACUUCCAUGCUCUUUUUGUGUUGCUGUUUUCAGUUAUUAAAAUGUUCUUAAUAGCACCUUACAUAUCAUUAGGAAAAAAAACCAUACAUUAAUAGCAAAGGCGUGCUAACUCAUAGUAGCACCCACAAAUUUCUCAGCUAUUGAUAACAGCCCAUACGGAAUAUAUUACUUGGUUUAGGGAGAAGAUUAAGAGGAAGCUAGUUAGACUAUCUGCUAUGUGGUUCUUCAUCUUGCAUUUGCAAGAUGACCCCUUUUUAAAGGGCUCUAUUAUCAAUGGAUGAAAAAGGAAGCUUUUCUUCUUUCCAAUCUGAGAUCCUCAUUUAGGCACUUCAGCUAAUUUCCUAAAGAUAGGUGGAUUGUUACAACCUCAGAAUGAGUAGUAUAACUCUUUCAUUUCUGUUCCACAGUUUGUACAUCUUUAAAAAGAAUGUUAAUUGCCUGGACCAGAAAUAUAGGUGAUUGACUUCUUAAAAGAUCUGGUUUUGGAUGCUGUGUCCGAAAGUCAGUACAUAAAUCUACAUCUAGGAAACUAAAAAUGAUUUGGCUUUCAGAGUGCUGAAUCACUUCAGAAACCUGGGACUGCAUACCUUACUUUAUUUAGUGUAGCUGUACAUGUAUAAAAAGAUGCCUGUCCAUUGGAAGACACAGAUGUCAACAGUAAAUACUGGAAAGUGUUGCAAACACAAAUUGACAUCUAAACCCCUAGAUUUACAGUCAAGAUACUGAUAUUGCUGUUUAUAAAAAUAAUCUAUGUGCUCUUUUUCAAUAUCUAUUUUUCAUCAAAUGGGGUAAAACUGUAAGUUGUUUGGAAUUUACUGAAGCAAAAAAUAUUUUAAAUGCUUUUUUCUUUAAAAUAACCAUUUCUAUUUCCCUAAGCAAAA